rnacentral:rRNA from 1 species
UACGUAGGUGGCAAGCGUUAUCCGGAAUUAUUGGGCGUAAAGCGCGCGCAGGUGGUUUCUUAAGUCUGAUGUGAAAGCCCACGGCUCAACCGUGGAGGGUCAUUGGAAACUGGGAGACUUGAGUGCAGAAGAGGAAAGUGGAAUUCCAUGUGUAGCGGUGAAAUGCGUAGAGAUAUGGAGGAACACCAGUAGCGAAGGCGACUUUCUGGUCUGUAACUGACACUGAGGCGCGAAAGCGUGGGGAGCAAACAGG